rnacentral:rRNA from 2 species
CACCGCGGUUAUACGAGAGGCCCUAGUUGAUGGACACGGCGUAAAGGGUGGUUAAGGUUUAAAUUAAAUAAAGCCAAAAGACCUCUUGGCUGUCAUACGCCCCUGAGUGCCCGAAGCCCACAUACGAAGGUAGCUUUAAUGUUAACCCACCUGACCCCACGAAAGCUGAGAAA